AACAGCAGCAGUCAACAGCAGUUUAACAGAACUCUGCAGAAAUUCUUGUAAAAACUAAAAUUUCCAGGAUGCUGUUUCAAACUUUCAUCAAAUCCUCUUGCUCAUGGACAAAACACCUACUCAAUCUGCAGAUGUUUUGGAAAUUGUGGUGAAAUCCUCUUCCUCUUGGGACAUCUACAGAAACCCCAAACCUUUGUCCUACUUUGUGAGCACCACUAGCUCUGAUCUGGAGCAGAUAAAAUAUUCCCUUCUUUUUCUCUUGUGAAUUUUCAAAAGGUAAAAAGAGAAUCUGCCUAAACACCAGGGUUGCCCAAAGGGCUUCUUUCCCCUCUGCUUGGGCUGUUUCUCACUCAGUGGAAAUUAUCUUAGAGGGUUUUGGCAGAGGCAGCUCCAACAAGCUUGCAGCAGAGUGCCAUUAGCCUUGUGCAAGGCAUGUGCUGCUGAACUGCUCUCUACUUCCUUCACACACAAUCUGAGGAGCCUUUCAUGCUAGCAGAUAAAGACUUUGAUAUAAAUGAGAAUCAGACCCUCUUGACAAUAGUUAUGGCCUCUCUGGACCCAUUACAGAUUACCAGCAAAUGAACUGGCAGACAUUUGGUUUGCCUUUUAUAUCCUCAGUGUACAGCACCAUAAACACUUGCUGUCCUCUCACUGGUAGUUAAGUUUACACAGAUACACACUCAGGCAGUUCCUUAAGUGCCAAUUAUUUUUGUUCUACAAGUACUCUGUUAGAGCUUUUUCAGAUUUAUUGAUGUUUGAAAGCUUUUAAAUAUCCAUUACCCACUUAGCUGACCAUAGCAAUUUCAGCUGACUCUUUAUUUGUGUUAGAAUAUAUUUAGGCAUUUUUUAAAAUGGGUCUUCGUAGACCACAGGAUAUCCCUUGGAAACCCUGUAAUAAAUCAAGUAAAUACCUGGUGAAGGGCUAUAAUGCUUAUUUGUGACCAUUUAAUUUCAUACUUUAUAUUCCAUGUUUUGCACAUAUAAAGUUCCUCUGUUCAGGUUAUUAGUGACCAAGCUUUCUUCAGUCAAAAUUUUUGGGUACUUCUUCUGUAUUCCUCAGUUUCAUAACAAAGUGGACCCACAGUGACUGCUAUACUGGCAAUCUGCUGUUGCCAUCCCAUCCUCCCCUUCCCUUUAGGGGCAAUCACAUGCUCUAAUACUGGAAUACCUGUGAAGAAUACCUUUAUGACUGCCCACUAACAAAUCUACACCAAAAAAAAAAAAAAAAACCCAACCAAACAAAAACCCACACAACUGCAUGUACUGUGUGUAUUUGACAGAGUGACAUUUUCUGUGUUUUCCAUACAUCAGGAGAAGGAAAUUGAAGCCUGGAGGAUAAAAGCAUACAUAUGUCAAUACCACCAUUAUUUCUGGCCUCUCACAUUUAUUUACUCUGCUAUUUUGUAAGACUGACUACUGGAAACAAAUUCUUGAAGCAGGAAGCAAGGAGUGAAGACCCAUGGGAGAGAGCACUUGAAUGACUCUGGAGGAUAAUAGAGAUCAAGCAACAUGCAACUACUGAAACCGUGCUUACAGCUCACACAGUUAUUUCCUAAAUCAUGCAUGAGCUGGGGACACCAUCAUUUAUGUUCCUGAAGUGGUGACCCAUUCUAGUGCUGGCCUUCCUGCCUGGGGGGACAAUGGCUCUUUGUAGGCAUUUCAGGUCACAGCAGGUCACUUGUGUCACCUCACUUGAACUCCUACACUGAGAGCAGUGACAGCCACCCAGGUACUCCUGACCUCAGCCCAACAAGUGAAACAAGAACAUGCCACAAUUACAUACAUCUGCAUAAAGAGCACAGGAAUGUGGAAAUUCAGUACAAGAGGGGAGUAUAGAACUGGCAGUUACUUAACACACACACAGUUCGUUGCAUUUUCUCUACAUGAAAAUAUAUAAAAAAUUUAUAUAGACAUAAUAUACAUUAAUAUAUUAUAACUGACUUUAAAUAUACUAGAUUCUAGGGACAGGUGACACUGAACAUAGUCCACAACCUUUCAUCACCAAGUUCAAACUCCAGUCCAGCCCACAAGAAAAAUCAAAAUGAGAUUCCUAGUCCUUAAUUCCUGAAGCUUGGAUACAUUUUUUAAAGUGGUGCAAUUGCAAUUGCAUAACACAAACAAGGAGAAGUGCCAGAAAAUGGGAUUGAAACUUCUCUAGUGUCUGAUUAACUCUACUUGUAUUAUCAGGCCCCAGCCUGACAUGUGCCUGAAUAGCUGAAUGCCAGAUGAGAGGGAAGGUGGCAGGGAUAAUGUAAAUAUUUUUAUUAAGCUGUUGAAGUGUUUUUGACACAACAGUAACAUCACACCUUUAAAAAUGCCACACUAAAAAUUAUCCUAAAGUUUCUCUAUCAUACAAGAUGCAUUCAUAAUGGGAAUAUCUUAUAUAUAAGAGUUGUGAGGUUCAUCUUUACUUCCAACUUAAACUCAAUCAACAUAAGG